GGAGGUGGAUCGGUCGCUGGUGGGCCGCCCGGCCUUCAAAGCCGCGUGGGGGCGCUUAAACCGUCCCCGGUGGGUUCGAUUCCCACCCACUUCCGCCA
rnacentral:tRNA from 1 species